rnacentral:misc_RNA from 1 species
AAGACUAUAGACCUGCGGAGUACCUGCGGAAGGAUCAUUAUCGUAUUGUAACAAUUGGGGGGGCCACCGUGGGCUGUCGCUGACCCUUUGAAAGGGGGGUCGUGCACGCCCCCAUAGUGUCAUCCUCAUACAAUCCAACUCACCUCUGUGCAUCACCGCGUGGGUUCCUUUCUGGGUCGAGUCAGACUGGCUCAGAAAACAGGGGCUUGCGUUUUCCAUACAAAUACCCUUAUAAAUCCA